GCUCCCAUCGACUAACUGGUAGGUCACUACUCUUUCAAGGUAGUAGUACGGAUUCGAAUUCCGUUGGGAGUACCA
rnacentral:tRNA from 1 species